GCAUAACAUAAUUUUACAGCUUAUUAUAUGAAAUUAAUUUUUCAUUCACCUUGUAGUCUAAUAGAGAGAUGCACAGCAAAUGUGUUUUGAGAACAUAAAAAAAAGAGUUAAACUUUAGAAUAAUCCAAAUGAGAGAGAAUUUUCUAACUUAAAGAUGCAUAACUAGUUAAUUAAUAUGUCCCAUAUUCAAAAAAAAAAAAAAUCCCAGU
rnacentral:misc_RNA from 1 species